UACGUAGGUGACAAGCGUUGUCCGGAUUUACUGGGCGUAAAGGGCGCGUAGGCGGCGCGGUAAGUCACUUGUGAAAUCUCUGAGCUUAACUCAGAACGGCCAAGUGAUACUGCAGUGCUAGAGUGUGGAAGGGGCAAUCGGAAUUCUUGGUGUAGCGGUGAAAUGCGUAGAUAUCAGGAGGAACACCAAUGGCGAAGGCAGCUCGCUGGGACGGUACUGACGCUGAGACGCGAAAGCGUGGGGAGCAAACAGG
rnacentral:rRNA from 1 species